GGUAGUUCUGACACUGGCACAGCCGAAGCAAAAGUGUUAAGUAGACCGCCUGGGGAGUACGGUCGCAAGGCUAAAACUCAAAGGAAUUGACGGGGGCUCACACAAGCGGUGGAGCAUGUGGAUUAAUUCGAAGCAACGCGCAGAACCUUACCUGGGUUUGACAUGUUUGGAUACUAACUGGGAAACCAGGGAUGCUGCCCUUCGGGGUGAAACUUACACAGGUGCUGCAUGGCUGUCGUCAGCUCGUGUCGUGAGAUGUCGGGUUAAGUCCUUUAACGAGCGAAACCCUUGCCGUUAGUUGCCAGCGAGUAACGUCGGGGACUCUAGCGGGACUGCCGGUGUUAAACCGGAGGAAGGCGGGGAUGACGUCAAGUCCUCAUGGCCUUUAUGCCCAGGGCUUCACACGUGCUACAAUGGUACCUACAAAGCGAAGCGAGACCGCGAGGUGGAGCAAAUCGCAAAAAAGGUGCCUCAGUUCGGAUUGCAGGCUGACAACUCGCCUGCAUGAAGUUGGAAUCGCUAGUAAUCGCGUAUCAGCUAUGACGCGGUGAAUAUGUUCCUGAGCCUUGUACACACCGCCCGUCAAGUGAUGGAAGUUGGGAGUACCCGAAGUCGGAUUGCUAACCUUUUAUUAGGAGGCGUCUGCCGACGGUAAGCUCGAUGACUGGCACUAAGUCGUAACAAGGUAGCCG
rnacentral:rRNA from 1 species